GUCCUGGGCCUCUUCAAGGGGAGCCCCCUUGACUUCCCUGCGUGCGCCCUCCAGGCCUUCGAGGUGCUAGAACCUUCUUUAGCAUCUUUAGCGCCUUUCCUUGGUGGCCCUCAAGACUUCACUGAGAACAGAGGAGCCAGUAUUUUAGGUUUAGGUGAGGGGAUCACAACCCCAAAUCUUAGGAAUUUAGAGCCAACGUUCUGACUUGACGAAAAAGCAAAAGGAUGUGCUCGAGGAAGAGAGUCGGAUGGAACUACAAAAAGAUGGUCAGACGGAGAAUAAAAAGAUUGGCUUAUCUUGGCAUUACCUCUAGCUAGUUUUAGGCCUUGGACAAGUCAGGGAAGCUCUUUGAGACCAUUUGCCUAUAAAAUGGAAUAAUAAUAAGCCCUACCCUCAAUGUUAUUGUAAGGAAAAGCAGAUUGAUGCAUGUGACAAUGUAAACUAUAAAUUGCCAUACAAAUUUAAGGUAUUGUAUCUUCAGAGAUUUACGGCCCAGUCCAAGGAGAAAAAGAAACAAGAUAGUUUAACCUUGACUUCUAAGAACACCACAGUGAAAGCCGCAUUUCCCAACAUGGUUUUAGCCAUACUUUGAAGAAGAUCCCAGGGAGCUAUGGGACUGUCACAAAAUUCUUGCAAAAUCGUCUCAACCAGGAUACUUGUAUUUUACCUUCAUUAAAAAAAAAAAAAAAAUUGCUUGCCAUUUAGUACCUCUGAGGGGAUGUUAUGAAUCAAAGACGGAGUGUAAAAAUAGUGAAAAAGUAGAUGAAGACUAGGAAAUCAUUCAGCUGAACCAAAUAAAACAAGUUGUGUGUUUUACUACACAAUCCCUCAGAGCCUUUGAAUGCACAUUGUGACUCAAAAGAGAUUCCCAGGAAUCUGCACGUGAGGCCUGAUGGAUCUGUCAAGAAAUGCACCCGAACACCAAGCCUGUUCUUUAUUCACAUCUUCAUCACAGGCCGAUUGGACUACUCUCAUACCCGGGAUUUCUAAGCUUUGGGACCUCAGGCAAAUCAUUGCAAUUUCCCCUUCUUCAUCUGUAGCCAACUGCUUGCAAAGAAUUAAAACCUCAUAGAUUCAUUAACCUAACUUUUAUUGAGGGCCUGUGUGCCAGGCCUAGCACAGCACGGUCGGCACACAAGCACAGGAAGCAAGUAAAAACUUCAGCCCUUAAGGAGUUCCAAUGGCAGGAGGAGACGCACACAAACAAUGAAGCGAUGACCGGUGCUGGCCAUUCACCUUGAGCAGCUGUCGGUUGGCCUAGAGCAGAGGGAUCUGGUCUCAUACGCAGAUGCCUACAGGGAAGAGAUGGGGAAUAGAAAGGUGAGAGUCUGGGAGUGCAGAAUGGGAGAAGACAGGCGUGGUCUGCAGACAGAGCCACUGUGAAGCAGACGCUGAUUGUUGACCCAGUCCUUCAAGAGAAGCCAGACAUCUGAACUGUUAUGUGAAAUCCCCUGACUUCCGAAUGUUGUCAGCUAGAUCAGGCUUUUAAAACACACUUGCAGGACCAUCAAAACUCACCCCACGGGCUGCCAGUUCGUAACUUCUGGGCUGCCAUGUCACCAAAAAUUAUUCCAUAGUGUGAUAAGAACACAAGAGGCUUGAGAGACAUUGUUUUAUAACUACUAUCAAUAAAGGAAGUAUGAGUGCCAGCUUUUUUACAAAGUGUGUUUUCCUUUCCCAUAAUGUCAUCUGGAAGCAAUUCCUCCCAACAGCUGGAUUUGCUUUCACAAUUGGUAAACACGUAAAAUGGAAGGCAGGGGAAGAUGUGGAGUGUCACCAGAGGAGCCUUUCCCCCACCCGCUUGGCUCGUGUUCUGAGGCUUAUCUUGGGUCUCUGCACAAGCCUCAUCAAAACUGAGAAUGUCUUCAAACAAGCGACCCACACUGCAUUCCCUCCUUCAGGGGGUCAGCAUGUUCUUUGGGGGAGAAAUUUUCUGAAUACUUUGCAGAUAAAAUCGAUCAGAUGCAGACCAGAUUGCCAGCUGCCAAGAUCUCGGAGCUACACGUGGAGGCCAGCAAAGCAGCACCUUCUCCAAGACCUCACCAUCCUGGUACAAUCAGGACCUCUGGGGUCCUGCAGGAAGCCUCCCGCAGGGCACAGCCUUCCCAGAGCCACUGCCACCAAAGCCAAUACAGGACGAGAGCCCAAAGAGCACCGACUAGGUCAUCAAAGAAAAUGAAUGUCCCCCCCACCCCACCCCCCCAUAUGCUCCCGAGGAACAAGUUUUCACGCAGGCACAAACAGAAGGCAGCCAGUACUCCGGAAGGCCAAGAGCACAGCUGUCAUCUGGGUGUUGGCUCACACCCUCUCCACUCUGUCUCCAGGGUCUCGGGGGCCGCUUCUCUAGGGGUUCACCAACAUGGUUAGUUCUGGUCCAGGAGGUUCAGGGCACAGUUUAAGCUGGAAUACAGUGCCGGGGGGGCAAAGCUGAGGCUUCAGGCACUCUCCUCCCAUAUAAGAAACGCUAUUCUUUGAUCAAAGUUUCAAAUUUGGAAGAAAUCAACCUAGCAUAUGGCUCAACUCUCAGAGGGAGCACGAGAGUAUGCUGUUGACCAGGCAGCCCUACAGAGAUGCAGAAGAGGGUAUGUGUCACCCGGCCCAGCGGCGGGGAUGACCUCAACACGGUGUCGGCCAGAUGGGGAGAGAGUGGGGGGUAGGAGGGGCUUCCUUCCAAGCACCACCAACCCUCUGGGUAGCCAGGGCCCCACUUCCUGUGAGGGAGCUUCCCUGUGCUGUGGACCCUUGGCUGCAAAGUCCUCCUGGAAGAGAUGAGCACCCCACCCACUGAACAAACAAAAGGAGCCGAUCAGGAGCAGGGCUCACCAGAGGACCCUGAGGAGGCUGACUGCCCAGCUCCUCAGCACAAGCUGCAAACGGAGCCCCUUUGCCUAGGCCCAUGGUGGGUGGAGUGCACUCUUUCUCGGGUCUGCUUCUUUCCUGGGGUCCAUCUUCUCUCUCUGUCCUCCAGGAAGAGGCUGUAUCUUGUCUGGAGUCAAGGAACAGAAACUUCAUUGUACAGUUUUCCAAAUCUCAUGCCUCAUAUCUGAAAUGUCGAAACUCUGUGUUUCUAGUUGCAGGCCAAGGCUGCUUCCUCCAGACCCUGGUCACUCUGGUCUGAUCGCCUGCACUGCUGGGAGGGCCCUCGGAGUCCACUCGGCGAGAUUCACUGAAGCCCAGGGGGGUGGGUGGGUGAGAGCAACCCCCUGGUUAAUACUUCAAAGUGACCCUCUAGAUGAAAGCAACUAGAGCUCUAACAACCAGAUGCAAUGCGUGCACCUUGUUUGGAUCCUGAUUCAAAUGUACCAACCGUAAGGAGACAUCUUGGGAUAGUUCAAGAAAAUGUGAAUUUGGACUGGGUAUCAGAAAACAUUUAAGAACUUAUUGUUAAUUUUGAUAAGUAAGUGUGGAAAAAAACAUAAAAAAUAAAUAUGUAAACAAAUUUUUA